rnacentral:rRNA from 1 species
AAUGAACGCUGGCGGCAGGCCUAACACAUGCAAGUCGAACGGAUCCUUCGGGAUUAGUGGCGGACGGGUGAGUAACGCGUGGGAACGUGCCCUUUGGUUCGGAAUAGCCUCGGGAAACUGGGAGUAAUACCGGAUAAGCCCUUCGGGGGAAAGAUUUAUCGCCAAAGGAUCGGCCCGCGUUGGAUUAGGUAGUUGGUGGGGUAAUGGCCUACCAAGCCGACGAUCCAUAGCUGGUUUGAGAGGACGAUCAGCCACACUGGGACUGAGACACGGCCCAGACUCCUACGGGAGGCAGCAGUGGGGAAUCUUAGACAAUGGGGGAAACCCUGAUCUAGCCAUGCCGCGUGAUCGAUGAAGGCCUUAGGGUUGUAAAGAUCUUUCAGUUGGGAAGAUAAUGACGGUACCAACAGAAGAAGCCCCGGCUAACUCCGUGCCAGCCGCCGCAGUAAGAC